rnacentral:rRNA from 1 species
AGCUGGCUGGUUCCGUGAGGUGACUUCUGCCCAGUGCUCUGAUUGUCAAUGCGAAGAGAUUCAGCCAAGCGCGGGUAAACGGCGGGAGUAACUAUGACUCUCUUAAGGUAGCCAAAUGCCUCGUCAACCAAUUAUUGACGCGCAUGAAUGGAUCAACGAGAUUCCUGCUGUCCCUAGUCGCUGUCUGGUGAACCAACAACCAAGGGAACGGGCUUGGAUGUGUCAGCGGGGAAAGAAGACCCUGUUGAGUUUGACUCUAGUUUGAUACUGUGCAACAACAUGUGGGGUGUAGCAUAGGUGGGAGGUGAGUGCCAAACACCACCACCACACACCCGGCUGGGUCCCAGCCCCAAGGAGCAGCAGUAGGCGCCUUCCAGGGCCCCCAGCCGCGGUGCUGUGUCGUCUGGCUCCCAGAGCCACAGUGAAUCCUGGUGCGAACCUGCAGUGAAAUACCACUACCUUCACCGUUGUUUUACUCAUUGAGUUGUCAGAGAGCGGUGGCCAUUUGGACAUCGGCUCUGCCCUUGCGGUGGAGCCGUGGCUCUUCCCCGAUUCAUGCAUCAAGUCCGCGGCAGUCUCUGCUGUGGACGACUCUGGAUGUCGCAGUCCGAUCAGAAGUCUCAAAACAUCGAUCAGUUGGGGAGUUUGGCUGGGGCGGCACGCCUUUUACAACACAACGAAGGCGUCCUGAAGCAUUGCUCAGGCAGAACAGAAAUCUCCCAGGGAGGAGAAGGCCAAAGGUGCUGCUGAUGCCGCGGCUCUCAGUACGAGCCCGAAACGUGCAAGUGUGGCCUAACGAUCCUUUGGUCAAGUGUGCGAAUUCUGGAUAUCGAAGCCAGAGGUGUCAGAAAAAUUACCACAGGGAUAACUGGCUUGUGGCUGCCAAGCGUUCAAAGCGACGUCGCUUUUUGAUCCUUCGAUGUCGGCUCUUCCUAGCUUCCCACCCGCAGCCGAGUGGAAGAGUUGGAUUGUUCACCCACCAAC